rnacentral:sRNA from 1 species
GCUGGGUGUGGUGGUAUGUGCCUGUAAUCCCAGCUACUUGGGAGGCUGAGAUGGGAGGAUGGCUUGAGCCUGGGAGGUCAAGGCUGCAGUGAGCCAUGAUCGUGCCACUGCACUCUAGCCUGGGCAACAGAGCAAGACCCUGUCUCAA